UGAAACGUGCGUACCUAAAUGUGAGGC
rnacentral:sRNA from 1 species